rnacentral:rRNA from 1 species
UCGGGAAUUUUGGGCAAUGGGCGAAAGCCUGACCCAGCAACGCCGCGUGAAGGAUGAAAUCUUUCGGGAUGUAAACUUCGGAAGAAUAGGAAGAAUAAAAUGACGGUACUAUUUUUAAGGUCCGGCUAACUACGUGCCAGCAGCCGCGGUAAUACGUAGGGACCAAGCGUUGUUCGGAUUUACUGGGCGUAAAGGGCGCGUAGGCGGCGUAAUAAGUCACUUGUGAAAUCUCCGGGCUUAACUCGGAGCGGCCAAGUGAUACUGUUAGGCUAGAGUGCAGAAAGGGCAAUCGGAAUUCUUGGUGUAGCGGUGAAAUGCGUAGAUAUCAAGAGGAACACCUGAGGCGAAGGCGGGUUGCUAGGCUGACACUGACGCUGAGGCGCGAAAGCUAGGGUAGCAAACGGGGAUUAGAUACCCACGUAGUCCCUGAGCGGGCUGGCAAGGCGCAU